rnacentral:lncRNA from 1 species
CAGGAUGAUUGUACAAGGUGCAGGAGUUUACGGGUACGAGGAGAGUUUGGGGCAAGGAGAUUUGUGUUAAAAUCGCCCAUGAUAAUGUAAUGUGCAUACUCGGAACCCAGCGAUUCUAAAACCGAUUCAAAAUCAGUGAAGUAGUCGACAGAAGGGGGGCAGUAGACAACACCAACGACAGCUUUGGCCCCCUUCACUGAAACCUCUAGAAAGAGAUAUUCAGCACUUACCAGAGGACCGGAAGAGCGAGCCAAAAUCCUAUAAGGAAAGUCUGAUCGGAGGUAAAUUGCCACGCCACCCCCUCUUCUCCCAAGCCGAUCAUUCCGAAUAAGAACGAAGCCAGGAAGAGAGUACGAGGUGGACAAGAGAUCUGGUUUAAGCCAGCUCUCAGAAAUCAGGAUGGCGUGAACAUUAGUGUUAGUAAAGGUCACAAAUAGUUCACUGUAGUGACUCGGGACACUUUGCGCAUUGAUGUGACAUACAUUAAAAACUUUAUUUAAUUGCUGAAAUUGUGUUCUCAAAGUAUCUCCGAGGGUAUCAGGCAAAGAGCAGAAACUGUCAUCGUUAUCACCAGCAUCCAAGGAUUCAUUAGCAGAGUGAAAACUAUCACUAAAAGAAUUCAUAAAAGGCAAAUUGUAAAAAUAAAAUAAAUAUUUAUAAAUAUAUAAAACUAAACAACUAAAACUAAAAUAAAACUGUUUUUAACUAUUUCAACACCACCCGCCAGCGAACACCACUAAAUAUUAAUGCAGCGAAGAACAAAGAAAAAACAUGAAUAGCAAAACAGAACAAAAAUAAAAAGAAACUGUCACUAAAUUAUCAAGGACAGCAAUGACAAAAAUCAUAAUAUAUAAAAAACAAAAACAAAAAAAAAAGAUACAAGGAACGUUUACAAUAUGAGAUGGAAAUAGAUUAAAACUGUCUUCAAUAAAAAUGCUAAACAACAAAACGCACAUAGUUUUGUCUGUGCAUGCUUGAUUUGACACAUGACAUGACUGACAUGACAUAGACAUUCGUUUGACAUUAAGUUUAUAAGAUAAAUAUAAUUAGAUUCUAAAAAAUAAAUAUUUACUUGUGAGGGUAAAACUAAGAAUGGUAUAAAAUUCGUGAACUUAAGCUGAGAGAGAGACAUGAAGUUACAUUACACAAAAUAAAAUAACAAAUUAAUUAGCAAAAGGAAAGAAGAUGUAUAAAUACACUAAGAGGAAAUUUAAGGAAAAAGUCAACCCUUCGAAGAUGCAUCAGACUUCACCGGGUACUUUUCAAGAAGCGGUUUCAGUUCGUCCAUUGCAGAAAUCCUAUGACGAGUGCCAUCUGAAGUCCUGACAACUAUUACACCAUCCUGCGACCAACAUGACCGCAUUCCGAAGUGCUGCCUGGCCUUGGUGAAGACGGACUGCCUAGUCUUGGUCAGGAACUCCUUAACUGAGAUUUUCGUCCCCUUCAAACCAGUCUUCGCUUUCCAAAUUGCAGACUUGACAUCCAGACCAGAGAACCUCACAAGAAUUGGCCUUGGGUGAUCUUUACUGAGACUGCCAAGCCGAUGUGCCACUUUUAUAUUAGAGACUGCAAUGUCUUUGAGAGCCAAUUUGCCAUUGACUAUGCUCAUUAUAGUGGCAGUGCAGUCCUCAGUGUCAGCUUCAGGAACUCCUUGGAAGAUAAGAGCCUUCUUCCGGUGCUUCAUCUCCAGGCCAUCAAUAUGCAGAAGACACUCGGCGAUUUGUUUCCUGAGCAAUCCAAGGACACUGUAGAUGAGCUCUCUAAAUGCCCGGAACUCCUCUGCAAUCUUAGCCACAGUAUCUUUGGCGGGUCCUGCAGCCUGAAUUUGUGCACCAAGUUCAUCCAUCUUCCGGGUGAAGUUCUCCUCAAGACUCUUUUGGAUUGAUAGGAUCUCGGACAGCUGUGACAUUCUUGUGUAAUUUAACAAUGUGCCUUGUGUUAAAUUAAUUCAGUGUUGUUUGGUGAUGUGGCGGGUGGUGUAUAAAUGUGUUUACAAUUAUUACAUUUACUACUGUAAGUACUAGCAAAUACAGAUGCAAUAAUAUUUCAAAAAACAAUUGUAAAUACUAUUAAAUAUUAAUUUUAAAGGCUCAGAGAAUCUGAGAAA